rnacentral:rRNA from 1 species
UACGAAGGGGGCUAGCGUUGUUCGGAAUUACUGGGCGUAAAGCGCGCGCAGGCGGUUUCUCAAGUCAGUGGUGAAAGCCCGGAGCUCAACUCCGGAACUGCCAUUGAAACUGUGAAACUUGAGGACGAGAGAGGUGAGUGGAAUUCCCAGUGUAGAGGUGAAAUUCGUAGAUAUUCGGAAGAACACCAGUGGCGAAGGCGGCUCACUGGCCCAUUACCGACGCUCAGGCGCGAUAGCGUGGGGAGCAAACAGG